rnacentral:rRNA from 1 species
UUAAGUGACUAAGCGUACACGGUGGAUGCCUUGGCAGUCAGAGGCGAUGAAAGACGUAGUAACUUGCGAUAAGCCCAGAUUAGGUAGUAACAACCAUUUGAGUCUGGGAUUUCUGAAUGGGGAAACCCACGUGCAUAAGCACGUAUCCUUACCUGAAUACAUAGGGUAAGGAGGCGAACCGGGGGAACUGAAACAUCUAAGUACCCCGAGGAAAAGAAAUCAACCGAGAUUCCGAAAGUAGCGGCGAGCGAAAUUGGACUAGCCCUUAAGCUUUACACGCGUUAGACGAACGGUCUGGAAAGUCCGACGAUACAGGGUGAUAGUCCCGUAGUUGACGACGUGUGUUCAGUGAAAUCGAGUAGGGCGGGACACGUGAUAUCCUGUCUGAAUAUGGGGGGACCAUCCUCCAAGGCUAAAUACUACUGACUGACCGAUAGUGAACCAGUACCGUGAGGGAAAGGCGAAAAGAACCCCUGUGAGGGGAGUGAAAUAGAACCUGAAACCGUGUACGUACAAGCAGUAGGAGCACCUUCGUGGUGUGACUGCGUACCUUUUGUAUAAUGGGUCAGCGACUUAUAUUCAGUGGCAAGGUUAACCAUCUAGGGGAGCCGUAGGGAAACCGAGUCUUAACUGGGCGUUCAGUCUCUGGAUAUAGACCCGAAACCAGGUGAUCUAGCCAUGGGCAGGUUGAAGGUUGAGUAACAUCAACUGGAGGACCGAACCGACUAAUGUUGAAAAAUUAGCGGAUGACUUGUGGCUAGGGGUGAAAGGCCAAUCAAACCUGGAGAUAGCUGGUUCUCCCCGAAAGCUAUUUAGGUAGCGCCUCGGACGAAUACUACUGGGGGUAGAGCACUGUUAAGGCUAGGGGGUCAUCCCGACUUACCAACCCUUUGCAAACUCCGAAUACCAGUAAGUACUAUCCGGGAGACACACGGCGGGUGCUAACGUCCGUCGUGGAGAGGGAAACAACCCAGACCGCCAGCUAAGGUCCCAAAUUACUACUAAGUGGGAAACGAUGUGGGAAGGCUCAGACAGCCAGGAUGUUGGCUUAGAAGCAGCCAUCAUUUAAAGAAAGCGUAAUAGCUCACUGGUCGAGUCGGCCUGCGCGGAAGAUGUAACGGGGCUAAGUAGUAAACCGAAGCUGCGGCAAUAUACUUUUGUAUAUUGGGUAGGGGAGCGUUCUGUAAGCGGUUGAAGGUGUGUGGUAACGCAUGCUGGACGUAUCAGAAGUGCGAAUGCUGACAUGAGUAACGAUAAAGGGGGUGAAAAACCUCCUCGCCGGAAGACCAAGGGUUCCUGUCCAACGUUAAUCGGGGCAGGGUAAGUCGACCCCUAAGGCGAGGCCGAAAGGCGUAGUCGAUGGGAAACGGGUUAAUAUUCCCGUACUUCUUACAAUUGCGAUGGGGGGACGGAGAAGGCUAGGUGGGCCUGGCGACGGUUGUCCAGGUUCAAGUGCGUAGGCUUAAGAGUUAGGUAAAUCCGGCUCUUUUUAAGGCUGAGACACGACGUCGAGCACCUACGGGUGUGAAGUCAUUGAUGCCAUGCUUCCAGGAAAAGCCUCUAAGCUUCAGAUUGUAAGGAAUCGUACCCCAAACCGACACAGGUGGUCGGGUAGAGAAUACCAAGGCGCUUGAGAGAACUCGGGUGAAGGAACUAGGCAAAAUGGUACCGUAACUUCGGGAGAAGGUACGCUCUCGACGGUGAAGUCCCUCGCGGAUGGAGCUAUUGAGAGUCGCAGAUACCAGGUGGCUGCAACUGUUUAUUAAAAACACAGCACUGUGCAAAAUCGUAAGAUGACGUAUACGGUGUGACGCCUGCCCGGUGCCGGAAGGUUAAUUGAUGGGGUUAGACUUCGGUCGAAGCUCUUGAUCGAAGCCCCGGUAAACGGCGGCCGUAACUAUAACGGUCCUAAGGUAGCGAAAUUCCUUGUCGGGUAAGUUCCGACCUGCACGAAUGGCGUAAUGAUGGCCACGCUGUCUCCACCCGAGACUCAGUGAAAUUGAAAUCGCUGUGAAGAUGCAGUGUACCCGCGGCUAGACGGAAAGACCCCGUGAACCUUUACUACAGCUUGGCACUGAACAUUGACCCUACAUGUGUAGGAUAGGUGGGAGGCUUUGAAGCACGUACGCCAGUAUGUGUGGAGCCGUCCUUGAAAUACCACCCUUGUAGUGUUGAUGUUCUAACGUCGACCCCUAAUCGGGGUUGCGGACAGUGCCUGGUGGGUAGUUUGACUGGGGCGGUCUCCUCCCAAAGAGUAACGGAGGAGCACGAAGGUGGGCUAAUCACGGUUGGACAUCGUGAGGUUAGUGCAAUGGCAUAAGCCCGCUUGACUGCGAGAAUGACAAUUCGAGCAGGUGCGAAAGCAGGUCAUAGUGAUCCGGUGGUUCUGAAUGGAAGGGCCAUCGCUCAACGGAUAAAAGGUACUCCGGGGAUAACAGGCUGAUACCGCCCAAGAGUUCAUAUCGACGGCGGUGUUUGGCACCUCGAUGUCGGCUCAUCACAUCCUGGGGCUGAAGUCGGUCCCAAGGGUAUGGCUGUUCGCCAUUUAAAGUGGUACGCGAGCUGGGUUUAGAACGUCGUGAGACAGUUCGGUCCCUAUCUGCCGUGGGCGUUGGAAGAUUGAAGGGGGCUGCUCCUAGUACGAGAGGACCGGAGUGGACGAACCUCUGGUGUUCGGGUUGUGUCGCCAGACGCAUUGCCCGGUAGCUAAGUUCGGAAUCGAUAACCGCUGAAAGCAUCUAAGCGGGAAGCGAGCCCUGAGAUGAGUCUUCCCUGAUACUUUAAGUAUCCUAAAGGGUUGUCGGAGACUACGACGUUGAUAGGUCAGGUGUGUAAGUGCUGUGAGGCAUUGAGCUAACUGAUACUAAUU